rnacentral:rRNA from 1 species
AUUGAACGCUGGCGGAAUGCUUUACACAUGCAAGUCGAACGGCAGCACGGGGGCAGCCCUGGUGGCGAGUGGCGAACGGGUGAGUAAUACAUCGGAACGUGCCCGGUCGUGGGGGAUAACGUAGCGAAAGUUACGCUAAUACCGCAUACGAUCUGAGGAUGAAAGCGGGGGACCUUCGGGCCUCGCGCGAUCGGAGCGGCCGAUGUCAGAUUAGGUAGUUGGUGGGGUAAAGGCCUACCAAGCCGACGAUCUGUAGCUGGUCUGAGAGGACGACCAGCCACACUGAGACUGAGACACGGCCCAGACUCCUACGGGAGGCAGCAGUGGGGAAUUUUGGACAAUGGGCGCAAGCCUGAUCCAGCCAUUCCGCGUGCAGGACGAAGGCCUUCGGGUUGUAAACUGCUUCUGUACGGAACGAAAAGGCUCUGGCUAAUACCUGGGGCUCAUGACGGUACCGUAAGAAUAAGCACCGGCUAACUACGUG